rnacentral:rRNA from 1 species
GGGUUGUGAGGUUAAGCGACUAAGCGUACACGGUGGAUGCCCUGGCAGUCAGAGGCGAUGAAGGGCGUGCUAAUCUGCGAUAAGCGCCGGUAAGGUGAUAUGAACCGUUAUAACCGGCGAUACCCGAAUGGGGAAACCCAGUGUGAUUCGUCACACUAUCAUUAACUGAAUCCAUAGGUUAAUGAGGCGAACCGGGGGAACUGAAACAUCUAAGUACCCCGAGGAAAAGAAAUCAACCGAGAUUCCCCCAGUAGCGGCGAGCGAACGGGGAGGAGCCCAGAGCCUGAAUCAGCAUGUGUGUUAGUGGAAGCGUCUGGAAAGGCGCGCGAUACAGGGUGACAGCCCCGUACACAAAAGCGCAUGUGCUGUGAGCUCGAUGAGUAGGGCGGGACACGUGGUAUCCUGUCUGAAUAUGGGGGGACCAUCCUCCAAGGCUAAAUACUCCUGACUGACCGAUAGUGAACCAGUACCGUGAGGGAAAGGCGAAAAGAACCCCGGCGAGGGGAGUGAAAAAGAACCUGAAACCGUGUACGUACAAGCAGUGGGAGCACAGGUUUACCUGUGUGACUGCGUACCUUUUGUAUAAUGGGUCAGCGACUUAUAUUCUGUAGCAAGGUUAACCGUAUAGGGGAGCCGUAGGGAAACCGAGUCUUAAUUGGGCGUUAAGUUGCAGGGUAUAGACCCGAAACCCGGUGAUCUAGCCAUGGGCAGGUUGAAGGUUGGGUAACACUAACUGGAGGACCGAACCGACUAAUGUUGAAAAAUUAGCGGAUGACCUGUGGCUGGGGGUGAAAGGCCAAUCAAACCGGGAGAUAGCUGGUUCUCCCCGAAAGCUAUUUAGGUAGCGCCUCGUGAACUCAUCUCCGGGGGUAGAGCACUGUUUCGGCUAGGGGGCCAUCCCGGCUUACCAACCCGAUGCAAACUGCGAAUACCGGAGAAUGUUAUCACGGGAGACACACGGCGGGUGCUAACGUCCGUCGUGAAGAGGGAAACAACCCAGACCGCCAGCUAAGGUCCCAAAGUCAUGGUUAAGUGGGAAACGAUGUGGGAAGGCCCAGACAGCCAGGAUGUUGGCUUAGAAGCAGCCAUCAUUUAAAGAAAGCGUAAUAGCUCACUGGUCGAGUCGGCCUGCGCGGAAGAUGUAACGGGGCUAAACCAUGCACCGAAGCUGCGGCAGCGAACGUAUCACCCAAGACAACUUUACGGAGUUGACGAUUGACGGAGCGAAGCGACGUCAAAGCGUUCAUUAAAGUCGAGUUGGCUUAGGGAUACGUUCGUUGGGUAGGGGAGCGUUCUGUAAGCCUGCGAAGGUGGCCUGUGAGGGUUGCUGGAGGUAUCAGAAGUGCGAAUGCUGACAUAAGUAACGAUAAAGCGGGUGAAAAGCCCGCUCGCCGGAAGACCAAGGGUUCCUGUCCAACGUUAAUCGGGGCAGGGUGAGUCGACCCCUAAGGCGAGGCCGAAAGGCGUAGUCGAUGGGAAACGGGUUAAUAUUCCCGUACUUGGUGUUACUGCGAAGGGGGGACGGAGAAGGCUAUGUUGGCCGGGCGACGGUUGUCCCGGUUUAAGCGUGUAGGUGUGUGUUCCAGGUAAAUCCGGUUCACUUUAACACUGAGGCGUGACGACGAGGCACUACGGUGCUGAAGCAACAAAUGCCCUGCUUCCAGGAAAAGCCUCUAAGCAUCAGGUAACAUCAAAUCGUACCCCAAACCGACACAGGUGGUCAGGUAGAGAAUACCAAGGCGCUUGAGAGAACUCGGGUGAAGGAACUAGGCAAAAUGGUGCCGUAACUUCGGGAGAAGGCACGCUGACACGUAGGUGAAGUGAUUUACUCACGGAGCUGAAGUCAGUCGAAGAUACCAGCUGGCUGCAACUGUUUAUUAAAAACACAGCACUGUGCAAACACGAAAGUGGACGUAUACGGUGUGACGCCUGCCCGGUGCCGGAAGGUUAAUUGAUGGGGUCAGCGCAAGCGAAGCUCCUGAUCGAAGCCCCGGUAAACGGCGGCCGUAACUAUAACGGUCCUAAGGUAGCGAAAUUCCUUGUCGGGUAAGUUCCGACCUGCACGAAUGGCGUAAUGAUGGCCAGGCUGUCUCCACCCGAGACUCAGUGAAAUUGAACUCGCUGUGAAGAUGCAGUGUACCCGCGGCAAGACGGAAAGACCCCGUGAACCUUUACUAUAGCUUGACACUGAACAUUGAGCCUUGAUGUGUAGGAUAGGUGGGAGGCUUUGAAGCGUGGACGCCAGUCUGCGUGGAGCCGACCUUGAAAUACCACCCUUUAAUGUUUGAUGUUCUAACGUGGACCCGUGAUCCGGGUUGCGGACAGUGUCUGGUGGGUAGUUUGACUGGGGCGGUCUCCUCCUAAAGAGUAACGGAGGAGCACGAAGGUUGGCUAAUCCUGGUCGGACAUCAGGAGGUUAGUGCAAUGGCAUAAGCCAGCUUGACUGCGAGCGUGACGGCGCGAGCAGGUGCGAAAGCAGGUCAUAGUGAUCCGGUGGUUCUGAAUGGAAGGGCCAUCGCUCAACGGAUAAAAGGUACUCCGGGGAUAACAGGCUGAUACCGCCCAAGAGUUCAUAUCGACGGCGGUGUUUGGCACCUCGAUGUCGGCUCAUCACAUCCUGGGGCUGAAGUAGGUCCCAAGGGUAUGGCUGUUCGCCAUUUAAAGUGGUACGCGAGCUGGGUUUAGAACGUCGUGAGACAGUUCGGUCCCUAUCUGCCGUGGGCGCUGGAGAACUGAGGGGGGCUGCUCCUAGUACGAGAGGACCGGAGUGGACGCAUCACUGGUGUUCGGGUUGUCAUGCCAAUGGCACUGCCCGGUAGCUAAAUGCGGAAGAGAUAAGUGCUGAAAGCAUCUAAGCACGAAACUUGCCCCGAGAUGAGUUCUCCCUGAGACUUAGAGUCUCCUGAAGGAACGUUGAAGACGACGACGUUGAUAGGCCGGGUGUGUAAGCGCAGCGAUGCGUUGAGCUAACCGGUACUAAUGAACCGUGAGGCUUAACCUUACAACGCCGAAG